GUCCCUUGCCGCAUUAGUACCCAGACUACUUUUGAGGGCAUUAAAUUUGAAACAACGUGGGAACUUUCUUCAACUAAGACUUCAUUCACAAGUAAAUUCGUUUGUUUUGGUGAAAAUGCCUGGGGCAAAUUGCUCGAUUUAUGGGUGUAAUGUUUCCAGAAAGACCACAAAUAUCAUCCAUGUGAUAACCAAAAUGCGUGUUGUAGACCAGAAGUUAAAAGUGCAGAUUGAGAAGAGAACAUUACACAUAUGUGAACGUCAUUUUGCAGAAGAUUGCUUACUUCAUCGUAAGUACAAAUGCUUUUUCCCCACAACAUAAUUUUGCAACGUAUACAAAACAAUUUAGAAUUAUUAUUUAAACACAAAUAUGCAUAUUCUACAUAUUCUAUGUUCAACUUUUAGAUGAUACAAAGUGAACGUGGGAGCCUGGCUCAACCUCAACAUUGAACUUGCCACAGAAAAGUGUAGCUUCUUCAACAAGCUCAUCUUCAGAAGAACUAACUUCAAGUUCAUCAAAUGUUUGUAACUUUGGCACCACCCUCUCCUUCUUCACUGAAAAUAAUUCUUGCUUAAUCAUAGCCCAGAAAAUUACCGCACAAAAACAAUUGAUUUGGUGUGCGUACGCGGAAGAUGUACUCUACGAGAACCGCUCCAGCGAAAGGAAACAGUGACGCCAUUAUACAUUAUAACUUAGCAUUGCUUCGCCGCCGUUCAUGAAAAACAAAAAUAUGGAAUUGGGCCCUUCAUCAAAUUAUUCCGAGGAAGAAGUGUCCGCUUUUUAAAUUAUUUUUAUUUUCAUGCGAGAAAAUGUCAUAUAAUAAAAAUUAUGUGUUGUUCUCGUCCGUUAUUAUUUGUCGACGCCGUCUGCGGUGUUUCGACGUACCCUUAGCACAGUAUAUCUCCGUUUCGCACUUUCAAUUCUCUUCAAGCUUGCUAGUACUAAGGUUAUUUUGUGUAUAUUUCUUAAUUCACAAAACUAUUUGAAUAGGCUGUUCAUCACUUGACAAUUCUUGCCGUCUGAAAAAAUCUCAGCGUGGCGGAAUUUUAUAACUUCAAAAUUUUUAAGAGAGAGCAUCUGUUACCUUUCUUGCACUGAACAAAUUCAGGCCAACUUAUGUUGGGUAGAUAAUUUUUUGAUGUAAACAAAAAUGAUAAUAGCGGUUCUCUCAGGAAAACACACUUCAA